rnacentral:lncRNA from 1 species
CAGAUACCUAAUGGGGUUUUUGACACAUCAAACAAUUUUUUUGAGCCCAAAUAACGGUAUACAUCAGCCCAAAUCAUAAUCUUAAUUUCAUUUUCAUUAAUGAAAUUGUGAUUAUAAUUUUCUUUAGAAAAAUGAUUUAAGAAAAUAUAUUAGGGCAAUUCUUUCAAAUAGACUUUUUAAGUUUUUGUCACAAAAAUAGACCUCAAAAACUAAAAUGACCAAAAUAGCAUUUUUUAUUUUGAAAAUUUUAAAUUUAAAAAAAAAAUUGAAAUCAUAUCCCCAAAACUCCACUCUUCAACUCUAAACCCUAAACUCUAAAUCCUAAACCUUAAACCCUAAACCCUAAACUCCACCCCUUAACUCUAAACUCUAAUGUCUAGAUUA